rnacentral:rRNA from 1 species
CCUACGGGAGUCAGCAGUAGGGAAUAUUGCUCAAUGGGGGAAACCCUGAAGCAGCAACGCCGCAUGGAGGAUGAAGGUUUUCGGAUUGUAAACUCCUUUUGUUAGAGAAGAUAAUGACGGUAUCUAACGAAUAAGCACCGGCUAACUCCGUGCCAGCAGCCGCGGUAAUACGGAGGGAGCAAGCGUUACUCGGAAUCACUGGGCGUAAAGGGCGCGUAGGCGGGAUAGCAAGUCAGAUGUGAAAUCCUAUGGCUUAACCAUAGAACUGCAAUUGAAACUGUUAUUAUAGAGUAUGGGAGAGGUAGGUGGAAUUCUUGGUGUAGGGGUGAAAUCCGUAGAUAUCAAGAGGAAUACUCAUUGCGAAGGCGACCUGCUAGAACGUAACUGACGCUGAUGCGCGAAAGCGUGGGGAGCAAACAGGAUUAGAUACCCCAGUAGUC